rnacentral:rRNA from 1 species
AUACGUAGGUGGCAAGCGUUAUCCGGAUUUACUGGGUGUAAAGGGCGUGUAGGCGGGACAGCAAGUCAGAUGUGAAAAUUAUGGGCUCAACCCAUAACCUGCAUUUGAAACUGUUGUUCUUGAGUGAUGGAGAGGCAGGCGGAAUUCCGUGUGUAGCGGUGAAAUGCGUAGAUAUUGGGAGGAACACCAGUGGCGAAGGCGACUUUCUGGACUGUGUCUGACACUGAGGCGCGAAAGCCAGGGGAGC